AUUGAACGCUGGCGGCAGGCCUAACACAUGCAAGUCGAACGAGUGGCGGACGGGUGAGUAAUGUCUGGGAAACUGCCCGAUGGAGGGGGAUAAAUACUGGAAACGGUAGCUAAUACCGCAUCCCAUCGGAUGUGCCCAGAUGGGAUUAGCUAGUAGGUGGGGUAACGGCUCACUUAGGCGACGAUCCCUAGCUGGUCUGAGAGGAUGACCUGCAAGACUGGAACUGAGACACGGUCCAGACUGCUACGGGAGGCAGCAGUGGGGAAUAUUGCACAAUGGGCGCAAGCAUGAUGGAGCGAUGCCGCGUGUAUGAAUAAGGCCUUCGGGUUGUAAAGUACUUUCAGCGAGGAGGCGUUGCUCGCAGAAGAAGCACCGGCUAACUCCGUGCCAGCAGCCGCGGUGAAUC
rnacentral:rRNA from 1 species